AAUCAAACUCAAGACCUUACUUGCGAGGCAUACACACUGCUGCCAAGAGCUAAAUCCAUGGCCCUCCAUCCUUUUUAAAAAGUAACCUAACAAUUUGAAGUCAUGGCACCUUUAGAAAACUUAAGACUUUCAUAUCAAGAAAGAUGGAGUAGAAAUACUUUUCUUCUGAGAAGAACAACUAAAAUUUCUGGAUACUACAAUGUUAUAUACAUGUAAAAGAUAUGAAGAGACUUUAAAAGUGUGGUGGCUGGAGAAAAUGACAAUCUGGAAAUGCAAUUGAAUACCCACAGGAAAAGCCCCACGAAAAGCUGGGUAUCCUUAGUGAAAGGUCUAAGAGAAGAGCCACCUAACAAGAGAGAAAAGUUUUGGACAAUAACUAUUUGGCUCCAGCCAAAAGCUACAGGAACAACAGAGUCUCUGUUUCUAGUAACAAGUAGCCAAGCCUAAGUAAAAGUCUUGACUUCAUCCUUCUAGGUUUCAGUGAGUUUCUCUAACCUCCUGGCCAGCCUGGUGUUAGAAAACAUCCAGUAGAGACCCAGGACUUUCACUCUUACAGAGCUACAAAUCCACAAAUGCAAGAAGACCAAGCAGGAUACCACUUUCACUUCUUUUGUUGUUAUUUUUGCUGUUGUUUUGAGAAGGGCUUUCACUAUAAGCUGGUCUUGAACUCAAAAUGCAACCCAAGCUGACCUAAAACUUGCAACACUUCUCCAGCCUCAGCCUCCCCAGUGCUAGAAGAUAGGUGUGGGCCACAAUACUCCGUUUGACUUCCAUUUCUAUCCUACAGAGUUAAACUCUCAUCAACACUUCUCAGGAACAAGCCCCCUGGCCCACUGUUUCAAUAGGGAGUAGUAAUAAGGCACCCUUGGCAUUCCUACUGAAAGGCAUUAUCAAAGGCUUACUGAGAAGAAGUUCCACCUCGAUAUGAAGUAACAAAGAGAUUGUCCUGCAA